rnacentral:rRNA from 1 species
GAUCAUGGCUCAGGAUGAACGCUAGCUACAGGCUUAACACAUGCAAGUCGAGGGGCAGCAUGGUCUUAGCUUGCUAAGGCCGAUGGCGACCGGCGCACGGGUGAGUAACGCGUAUCCAACCUGCCUUACACUCUUGGACAGCCUUCUGAAAGGGAGAUUAAUACAAGAUGUUAUCAUGGGUAAGCAUUUUCNCAUGAUUAAAGGUUUACCGGUGUAAGAUGGGGAUGCGUUCCA